CCGAGUUGCAAAACUCCAAACCCAUGUGAACAUACCUCGUGUUGCCUCGGCGGCGAGCGAAGUGCCCGGUAGGUGCCUACCCGGCACCUACCCUGGAGCUACCCUGUAGCUACCUACCCUGUAGGACUGGCGCAUCCGCCGAAGGACCACUCAAACUCUUAUUUCUGUGUGGCACGUCUGAGUAAUUAUAUUUAAUAAGUCA
rnacentral:misc_RNA from 1 species